UAGAGUUUGAUCCUGGCUCAGAUUGAACGCUGGCGGUAUGCUUAACACAUGCAAGUCGAACGGAAACGAUACUAGCUUGCUAGUAGGCGUCGAGUGGCGGACGGGUGAGUAACGCGUAGGAAUCUACCUAAUAGUGGGGGAUAGCCCGGAGAAAUCCGGAUUAAUACCGCAUAAUCUCUAUGGAGUAAAGGGGCCCUCUUCUUGAAAGGUUUCGCUAUCAGAUGAGCCUGCGUAAGAUUAGCUAGUUGGUGAGGUAAAAGCUCACCAAGGCGACGAUCUUUAGCUGGUCUGAGAGGAUGAUCAGCCACACUGGGACUGAGACACGGCCCAGACUCCUACGGGAGGCAGCAGUGGGGACUAUUGGACAAUGGGGGCAACCCUGAUCCAGCAAUACCGCGUGUGUGAAGAAGGCCUGAGGGUUGUAAAGCACUUUCAAUUGUGAAGAAAAGUUAAUAGUUAAUAACUAGUAGC
rnacentral:rRNA from 1 species